rnacentral:rRNA from 1 species
CCUACGGGUGGCAGCAGUCGAGAAUCAUUCACAAUGGGGGAAACCCUGAUGGUGCGACGCCGCGUGGGGGAAUGAAGGUCUUCGGAUUGUAAACCCCUGUCAUGUGGGAGCAAAUUAAAAAGAUAGUACCACAAGAGGAAGAGACGGCUAACUCUGUGCCAGCAGCCGCGGUAAUACAGAGGUCUCAAGCGUUGUUCGGAAUCACUGGGCGUAAAGCGUGCGUAGGCUGUUUCGUAAGUCGUGUGUGAAAGGCGCGGGCUCAACCCGCGGACGGCACAUGAUACUGCGAGACUAGAGUAGUGGAGGGGGAACCGGAAGUCUCGGUGUAGCAGUGAAAUGCGUAGAUAUCGAGAGGAACACUCGUGGCGAAGGCGGGUUCCUGGACAUUAACUGACGCUGAGGCACGAAGGCCAGGGGAGCGAAAGGGAUUAGAUACCCGGGUAGUC